rnacentral:rRNA from 1 species
UCAAGUGAAAUAAGGGCAAUUGGUGGAUGCCUUGGCAUGCACAGGCGAUGAAGGACGUGAUACGCUGCGAUAAGCCGUGGGGAGCUGCGAAUGAGCUUUGAUCCAUGGAUCUCCGAAUGGGGAAACCCGG